UACGAAGGGGGGCUAGCGUUGCUCGGAAUCACUGGGCGUAAAGCGCACGUAGGCGGAUUGUUAAGUCAGGGGUGAAAUCCUGGAGCUCAACUCCAGAACUGCCUUUGAUACUGGCGAUCUCGAGUCCGGGAGAGGUGAGUGGAACUGCGAGUGUAGAGGUGAAAAUUCGUAGAUAUUCGCAAGAACACCAGUGGCGAAGGCGGCUCACUGGCCCGGUACUGACGCUGAGGUGCGAAAGCGUGGGGAGCAAACAGG
rnacentral:rRNA from 1 species